rnacentral:rRNA from 1 species
GGUUCGAUCCUGGCUCAGAUUGAACGCUGGCGGAUGCUUUACACAUGCAAGCCGAACGGCAGCACGGACUUCGGUCUGGUGGCGAGUGGCGAACGGGUGAGUGAAUGUAUCGGUACCAGUGCCUAGUAGCGGGGGAUAACCACGGGCGUGCCCGUGAAUGGCCACCGCAUAAUGCCUUCGGGGGAAAGCGGGGAAUCCGGCCCUGCAACGCCAGAGCGGCCGAUAUCGAGCUCAGCUUAGUUGGUGGGGUAACGCCUCACCGCGACGAUCCGGGGAAGGCUUAUGAGGACGACCAGCCACAUCUGACCGAGACACGGCCCAGACUCCUACGGGAGGCAGCAGUGGGAGGUCCGGGAUUAAUGUAGCGUCCCUGAUCCAGCCAUCCUUACGUGUGCGAUGAAGGCCUUCGGGUUGUAAAGCACCCUUGCAGGAAGAAACGGCACGGAUAAUACCCCGUGCGCAACUGAUUGCACUGUGUUAGAGAAUAAGCAAUCAUUAUCCACGCGGGCACCAGUGUACAGGCCAUGGUAAUACGCAGGGGUGUGGGCGUUAAGACCGGAAUUACUGGGCGUAAAGCGUGUGCAGGCGGUUUUGGAAAAGGAAAGAUGGUAACCCAGAGCUUAACUUUGAACUGCAUUUUUAACUACUGAGCUAUAGAGGUCAGAGGGAGGUGGAAUUCCGCGUGUAGCAGGAAUGCGUAGAUAUGCGGAGGAACACCGAUGGCGAAGGCAGCCUCCUGGGAUAACACUGACGCUCAUGCACGAAAGUGUAAGGAGCAACAGAUUAGAAUGGACUGGUAAAAUGCCCAACGAUGUCAACUAGCUGCUGGGCCUUUCGGCCUGUAGCGCAGCUUAACGGGUGUAAAGGAUCUGUCCGCCUGGGGAGUACGGUCGCAAGAUUAAAACCAAAGGAAUUCGACGGGGACCCGCACAAGCGGUGGGAUGAUGUGGAUUAAUUCGAUGCAACGCGAAAACCUUUACCUACCCUGACAUGUCUGAAUCCCGAAGAGAUUUGGGAGUGCUCGCAAGAGAACCGGAACACAGGUGCUGUAUGGCUGUCGUCAGCUCGUGUCGCUAGAGAUGUUGCUGUAAGUCCCGCAACGAGCGCAACCUAUUAGUUGCUACGAAAGGGCACUCUAAUGAGACUGUCGCAACCGGAGGAAGGUGGGGAUGACGUCAAGUCCUCAUGGCCCUUAUGGGUAGGCUUCACACGUCAUACAAUGGUCGGGACAGGUCGCUAACCGCGAGGGGGAGCCAAUCCCAGAAACCCGAUCGUGCAGUCCUGAUCGCAGUCUAAAUCCUAUCCGCGCGAAGUCGGACCGCGAAUCGGAUCAGCACAACGCGGUGAAUACGUUCCGGUCUGUACACACCGCCCGUCUACACUACAAGGAGUGGGUUUACCAGAAGUAGUUAGCCUGAAACUGGUAAGGAGGGCGAUUACCACGGUAGGAUUCAUGACUGGGGUGAAGUCGUAACAAGGCAA